UACGGGGGGGAGCAAGCGUUGUUCGGAUUUACUGGCGUAAAGGGCGCGUAGGCGGUCAGCACAAGUCAGUUGUGAAAUCUCCGGGCUUAACUCGGAAAGGUCAACUGAUACUGUGCGACUAGAGUGCGGAAGGGGCAACUGGAAUCUCGGUGUAGCGGUGAAAUGCGUAGAUAUCGAGAGGAACACCUGCGGCGAAGGCGGGUUGCUGGGCCGACACGUGACGCUGACUGCGCGAAAGCCAGGGAGCGAAGCGGG
rnacentral:rRNA from 1 species